rnacentral:rRNA from 1 species
GACGAACGCUGGCGGCGUGCCUAAUACAUGCAAGUUGAGCGCUGAAGGUUGGUACUUGUACCGACUGGAUGAGCAGCGAACGGGUGAGUAACGCGUGGGGAAUCUGCCUUUGAGCGGGGGACAACAUUUGGAAACGAAUGCUAAUACCGCAUAAAAACUUUAAACACAAGUUUUAAGUUUGAAAGAUGCAAUUGCAUCACUCAAAGAUGAUCCCGCGUUGUAUUAGCUAGUUGGUGAGGUAAAGGCUCACCAAGGCGAUGAUACAUAGCCGACCUGAGAGGGUGAUUGGCCACAUUGGGACUGAGACACGGCCCAAACUCCUACGGGAGGCAGCAGUAGGGAAUCUUCGGCAAUGGACGAAAGUCUGACCGAGCAACGCCGCGUGAGUGAAGAAGGUUUUCGGAUCGUAAAACUCUGUUGGUAGAGAAGAACGUUGGUGAGAGUGGAAAGCUCAUCAAGUGACGGUAACUACCCAGAAAGGGACGGCCAACUACGUG